GCACAGCCUAGCCAAGGCGGACGGGUGAGUAACGCGUAAGGAACUUGCCCUGCAGUCAGGGAUAACAGACGGAAACGACUGAUAAGACCUGGUAAAGUCAGGCGGACUCAUGUCCAGCCUGAUGAAAAGAGAUGCUGCAGGAGAGCCUUGCGUCCUAUUAGCUUGUUGGUGGGGUAACGGCCCACCAAGGCGAUGAUAGGUAGCCGGCCUGAGAGGGUGGACGGCCACAAGGGGACUGAGAUACGGCCCUUACUCCUACGGGAGGCAGCAGUGGGGAAUAUUGGACAAUGGGGGCAACCCUGAUCCAGCAAUUCUGUGUGCACGAUGAAGGUUUUCGGAUUGUAAAGUGCUUUCAGCAGGGAAGAAAAAAAUGACGGUACCUGCAGAAGAAGCGACGGCUAAAUACGUGCCAGCAGCCGCGGUAAUACGUAUGUCGCAAGCGUUAUCCGGAAUUAUUGGGCAUAAAGGGCAUCUAGGCGGCCAGAUAAGUCUGGGGUGAAAACUUGCGGCUCAACCGCAAGCCUGCCCUGGAAACUAUGUGGCUAGAGUACUGGAGAGGUGGACGGAACUGCACGAGUAGAGGUGAAAUUCGUAGAUAUGUGCAGGAAUGCCGAUGAUGGAGAUAGUUCACUGGACGGUAACUGACGCUGAAGUGCGAAAGCUAGGGGAGCAAAC
rnacentral:rRNA from 1 species